GUUGGGUAGGGGAGCGUUCUGUAAGCCUGUGAAGGUGGCCUGUGAGGGUUGCUGGAGGUAUCAGAAGUGCGAAUGCUGACAUAAGUAACGAUAAAGCGGGUGAAAAGCCCGCUCGCCGGAAGACCAAGGGUUCCUGUCCAACGUUAAUCGGGGCAGGGUGAGUCGACCCCUAAGGCGAGGCCGAAAGGCGUAGUCGAUGGGAAACGGGUUAAUAUUCCCGUACUUGGUGUUACUGCGAAGGGGGGACGGAGAAGGCUAUGUUGGCCGGGCGACGGUUGUCCCGGUUUAAGCGUGUAGGUGUGUGUUCCAGGUAAAUCCGGUUCACUUUAACACUGAGGCGUGAUGACGAGGCACUACGGUGCUGAAGUAACAAAUGCCCUGCUUCCAGGAAAAGCCUCUAAGCAUCAGGUAACAUCAAAUCGUACCCCAAACCGACACAGGUGGUCAGGUAGAGAAUACCAAGGCGCUUGAGAGAACUCGGGUGAAGGAACUAGGCAAAAUGGUGCCGUAACUUCGGGAGAAGGCACGCUGACACGUAGGUGAAGUGAUUUACUCAUGGAGCUGAAGUCAGUCGAAGAUACCAGCUGGCUGCAACUGUUUAUUAAAAACACAGCACUGUGCAAACACGAAAGUGGACGUAUACGGUGUGACGCCUGCCCGGUGCCGGAAGGUUAAUUGAUGGGGUCAGCGCAAGCGAAGCUCCUGAUCGAAGCCCCGGUAAACGGCGGCCGUAACUAUAACGGUCCUAAGGUAGCGAAAUUCCUUGUCGGGUAAGUUCCGACCUGCACGAAUGGCGUAAUGAUGGCCAGGCUGUCUCCACCCGAGACUCAGUGAAAUUGAACUCGCUGUGAAGAUGCAGUGUACCCGCGGCAAGACGGAAAGACCCCGUGAACCUUUACUAUAGCUUGACACUGAACAUUGAGCCUUGAUGUGUAGGAUAGGUGGGAGGCUUUGAAGUGUGGACGCCAGUCUGCAUGGAGCCGACCUUGAAAUACCACCCUUUAAUGUUUGAUGUUCUAACGUGGACCCGUGAUCCGGGUUGCGGACAGUGUCUGGUGGGUAGUUUGACUGGGGCGGUCUCCUCCUAAAGAGUAACGGAGGAGCACGAAGGUUGGCUAAUCCUGGUCGGACAUCAGGAGGUUAGUGCAAUGGCAUAAGCCAGCUUGACUGCGAGCGUGACGGCGCGAGCAGGUGCGAAAGCAGGUCAUAGUGAUCCGGUGGUUCUGAAUGGAAGGGCCAUCGCUCAACGGAUAAAAGGUACUCCGGGGAUAACAGGCUGAUACCGCCCAAGAGUUCAUAUCGACGGCGGUGUUUGGCACCUCGAUGUCGGCUCAUCACAUCCUGGGGCUGAAGUAGGUCCCAAGGGUAUGGCUGUUCGCCAUUUAAAGUGGUACGCGAGCUGGGUUUAGAACGUCGUGAGACAGUUCGGUCCCUAUCUGCCGUGGGCGCUGGAGAACUGAGGGGGGCUGCUCCUAGUACGAGAGGACCGGAGUGGACGCAUCACUGGUGUUCGGGUUGUCAUGCCAAUGGCACUGCCCGGUAGCUAAAUGCGGAAGAGAUAAGUGCUGAAAGCAUCUAAGCACGAAACUUGCCCCGAGAUGAGUUCUCCCUGAGACUUAAAGUCUCCUGAAGGAACGUUGAAGACGACGACGUUGAUAGGCCGGGUGUGUAAGCGCAGCGAUGCGUUGAGCUAACCGGUACUAAUGAACCGUGAGGCUUAACCCUACAACGCCGAAG
rnacentral:rRNA from 1 species